rnacentral:lncRNA from 1 species
CUCAGCCAAAAGAGGCCCGGCAAGCAUCUCUGCUUGUUGAAACCCAGCUACUGUGUGAACAAGCCGAGGCUAGCCCGCUGGAGGAUGAGAGACACGUGGCCCAGUUACUCCCGUCCCCCAAGAGCUGUCAAGCAUGGGCACAUGGCCCUGCCAGCCCCGCCAGUCCAGCCGAGCUGCCACGUGACUGCAGCUUGGAUCCGCCAAGCCUGGCUCAGCGCGGAACCACCCAGCGGACCUGCGGCAUCAUGGGUUGCCAAGUGAAGCUGUUCAUGAUAUUGAAGAUUUUAACGCCUCCUUCCAGUGGAGAAGAACGUGAAAUGAGGCAUCAGUGAAGAUACAGAGUAUUUAAAUAACACUAUCAACAAACCUGUCUGAAUUGUAGGUAUAGAAUAUCAUGCUGAACACUUAUAGGACACACAUUCUUUCCAAGUGGACAUGGAAUAUUCGCUGUAUGUAUACCACAUGUGGGUCCAUAAAAUCUCAAAAACUGUAUUAAAUUAGAUAUUAAUGAAAAUACACUGUUCUUCAUACCUGUUAAUAUGGAUACUAUAAAAGAGAAAAACAGAAGCUAACGAGUGUUGGCGAGGAUGUAGAGAAAUUUGAACCCUUAUGCAUUAAUGUAACAUAGUGUAUCUGCUGUGGGGAACAGUUCAGCAGUUCAUCAAAAAAGUAAAAAUAGAAUUAUCAGAAGAUCUAGUAAUUCCACUUUUGGGUAUAUUCAAAACAACUGAAGGCAGGCUCUCAAAGGGCUCUUUGCACACCCACGUUUAUGAUAGUGGUACUUUGCACAGUAGCUAAGAGCCAAGAGGAGGAAGCAAGCCAAGGGUCCAUCAGCCAGGGAAUGACUUAACAAACAUGAUCC